GUCUACGGCCAUGCUACCCUGAACACACCUGAUCCCGUCUGAUCUCGGAAGCUGAGCAGGGUCGGGCCUGGUUAGUACUUGGAUGGGAGACCACCAAGGAAGACCAGGUACUGUAGGUG
rnacentral:rRNA from 1 species